CCUGGCAUGAUGCUCCUAAGCGCUCUCAUGAUUUGGAAUCCAGGCAUCAAUAGCUGGAAGGCAAAAUAUACCUGCUAUUGAAGAGAUAACCUGUAUAAUUUGUUAUCCAUUCAGGAUGAUUGGGUAAUCACUUAAUUUUUGUGAAAUGCUUAUCCAUUGGAGUGUAUGUACUGCUGAAGCAAGCAUGGAAUCACUUCAUUUCUGAUAGCCUCAUCAAAAGCAUGCCACAAAUCAGCAUGGAUAUAUUCCUUCCCAU